rnacentral:rRNA from 1 species
GAUGAACGCUGGCGGCGCGCCUAACACAUGCAAGUCGAACGAUUAAAGCACCUUCGGGUGUGUAUAAAGUGGCGAACGGCUGAGUAACACGUGGGCAACCUGCCCCUUUCAUUGGGAUAGCCACGGGAAACCGUGGAUAAUACCGAAUACUUCGAGACUUCCGCAUGGAAGACUCGAGAAAGCUCCGGCGGAGAGGGAUGGGCCCGCGGCCUGUUAGCUUGUUGGUGGGGUAACGGCCUACCAAGGCAAUGAUGGGUAGCUGGGUUGAGAGACCGACCAGCCAGAUUGGGACUGGGACACGGCCCAGACUCGUACGGGAGGCAGCAGUGGAGAAUCUUGCACAAUGGGCGAGAGCCUGAUGCAGCGACGCCGCGUGCGGGAUGAAGGCCUUCGGGUUGUAACCCGCUGUCAGCAGGGACGAGGCGAAAGUGACGGUACCUGCAGAAGAAGCCCCGGCUAACUACGUG